AUGAACGUUGGCGGCGUGCCUAAUAUAUGCAAGUCGAGCGAACAGACGAGGAGCUUGCUCCUCUGACGUUAGCGGCGGACGGGUGAGUAACACGUGGAUAACCUACCUAUAAGACUGGGAUAACUUCGGGAAACCGGAGCUAAUACCGGAUAAUAUAUUGAACCGCAUGGUUCAAUAGUGAAAGACGGUUUUGCUGUCACUUAUAGAUGGAUCCGCGCCGCAUUAGCUAGUUGGUAAGGUAACGGCUUACCAAGGCAACGAUGCGUAGCCGACCUGAGAGGGUGAUCGGCCACACUGGAACUGAGACACGGUCCAGACUCCUACGGGAGGCAGCAGUAGGGAAUCUUCCGCAAUGGGCGAAAGCUUGACGGAGCAACGCCGCGUGAGUGAUGAAGGUCUUCGGAUCGUAAAACUCUGUUAUUAGGGAAGAACAAAUGUGUAAGUAACUAUGCACGUCUUGACGGUACCUAAUCAGAAAGCCACGGCUAACUACGUG
rnacentral:rRNA from 1 species